UACGUAGGGGGCAAGCGUUGUCCGGAUUCAUUGGGCGUAAAGAGCGUGUAGGCGGCCAGGUAGGUCGGUUGUGAAAACUGGAGGCUCAACCUUCAGAGGUCGACCGAAACCAUCUGGCUAGAGUCCGGGAGAGGAGAGUGGAAUUCCUGGUGUAGCGGUGAAAUGCGCAGAUAUCAGGAGGAACACCGGUGGCGAAGGCGGAUCUCUGGGCCGUAACUGACGCUGAGGAGCGAAAGCAUGGGGAGCGAACAGG
rnacentral:rRNA from 1 species